UAGGGAAUAUUGCAAAAUGGGCGAAAGCCCGAUGCAGCAACGCCGCGUGGGCGAUGAAGGCCUUCGGGUCGUAAAGCCCUUUUUGAGGGGAUGAGGAAGGACAGUACCCUCAGAAUAAGCCUCGGCUAACUACGUGCCAGCAGCCGCGGUAAAACGUAGGAGGCGAGCGUUAUCCGGAUUUACUGGGCGUAAAGCGCGUGCAGGCGGAUUGGAGAGUUGGAUGUGAAAGCUCCCGGCUUAACUGGGAGAGGUCGUUCAAUACUUCCAGUCUUGAGUGCAGUAGAGGGUAGUGGAAUUCCGGGUGUAGUGGUGAAAUGCGUAGAUAUCCGGAGGAACACCAUUGGCGAAAGCGGCUUCCUGGACUGUAACUGACGCUCAGACGCGAAAGCUAGGGUAGCAAACG
rnacentral:rRNA from 1 species